GAUGAACGCUGGCGGCGUGCCUAAUACAUGCCAGUAGAACGCUGAAGGAGGAGCUUGCUCUUCUGGAUGAGUUGCGAACGGGUGAGUAACGCGUAGGUAACCUGCCUGGUAGCGGGGGAUAACUAUUGGAAACGAUAGCUAAUACCGCAUGACAACAGUUAUUGCAUGAUAACUGUUUAAAAGGGGCAACUGCUCCACUACCAGAUGGACCUGCGUUGUAUUAGCUAGUUGGUGAGGUAACGGCUCACCAAGGCGACGAUACAUAGCCGACCUGAGAGGGGGAUCGGCCAAACUGGGACUGAGACACGGCCCAGACUCCUACGGGAGGCAGCAGUAGGGAAUCUUCGGCAAUGGACGGAAGUCUGACCGAGCAACGCCGCGUGAGUGAAGAAGGUUUUCGGAUCGUAAAGCUCUGUUGUAAGAGAAGAACGAGUGUGAGAGUGGAAAGUUCACACUGUGACGGUAUCUUACCAGAAAGGGACGGCUAACUACGUG
rnacentral:rRNA from 1 species